AUCGCUCUGUUCUCCCUCCAGCUGUUCUCAAUCAUCAGUCGAAUCAGUCAUGAUGAUUCAGCGAAUCUGAAAAAUUCAUCGGUCUUUAUGAACGCGUUGUUCCGCCCAGUGAGUGUAUAUGGAAACUCUGGGAUUGGGUGAAAACUUGCUGCACCGUGGGAAGGGCUCGCAGACUGACUUACGCUUGAUAUGAACCAUUAGAACGUUUUGGAGGAUCGAACCACCAACCUUUCCGAACAGUGAGCGACCCACUGUACCUCUGAGCCACAGUCGACCCUCUCCUGUUUGUAUGAAGUGCAGCCAACCAGGGAGAAGAUGAUCUGCUGGAUCCUGCUGCUCAUCAACCUGACCUCCUGUGUCUGUGGUUAGUUUCCACCUUCACUUUAUUAUCCAUGAAGAGAAAAGUCCAAAUACACUUUCAGACUUCCAUCUUUCAAUCUGUAAGGAGGAAGGCCUCUACAGCACUGAGAGCAUCACUAAACUGUCCACAGAAACAUCUCUAGAUGGAGUUUAAAGGCUCACAUGUUAAAGUUGUCACUUUGUCUGGUCCUCACUUUCCCUCUCUGUCUCCUCAACAGGAACAUUUGUAGUGAAUGUGACACAGACCUCCUAUCAGGCAGAGGAGAACCAUAACAUCACACUGGAAUGGACGUUCACAACCAACACUGACAGUUCCCUCAACUCUCUUUCUAUCUACUGUGAACUGAGAGCUGAUCACAAGGUUUCAGUCCUGUACGAUCUAGAUAAAGGUGGGGAGAUCCCACUGGCUCAUGGUGAACAGUUUACAGGACGAGUCCAGUGUGACAAAGACGUCCUCAGAGAAGGACGAAUCAGACUUCAUGUGUCCAGACUCAGGACUGAAGACUCGGGCCUGUACCUGUGUGAAGUGAACCCAAAUCAUGGUGGCAGUUUGGGUGAAUAUCGACUCAACGUCACUGCAGCGAGGGAUUGGUCAGAACCUGAAAGACAAAAAUCACCAAGUCGGGGAAGGAUCGGCCUCUACUGUGGACUGGGACUGACAGCAGCAGCUCUGCUGGUUGUUCGUUGCCUUUUAUUCAUUCACUGUCUGCCUAGAGAACAAGAUUCAUACUCAGAGUCCAGUGGUGGAUGUGAGACAAGUUACAGCUCAGCAUCUGGAUCAGAGGAAACAAUUUGAUCAACAAUUUAAAGAAUAUUACAUAUAAAUGAACGUUUGUUGCAUUCAAGCCCUCGCCAAACGAGUUCCCACAAUGCUGAUGAAGCCUAUUACUGCCAGCUAAAUCUUGCACUAUAUGGAGAUUUGAAAUCUUUCAAACUUUCCCUCACUGGAGCAGCAGUAUUGAUACAUUUCACAUCAAUCAGCAAUACUGGAAUUUCAAUCCAAAAAGGGUUCAUUUAACCAGUAGAAGAACAACAGAACAACAACGCCUCAUAAAACUCUUUCACUUAUUAGACAGAUCUGAGAUCUGCACUGUGUGCACUUUAUUGAACUAAUGCAGUUAAACACGUCUACCUCAUAUCUGUGAAAUCUCUGUUGUUUUUUAACAUUUGCACUUAAAGCUCAAUGUGAGGAAUUUAUAUUGAUAUUCUAUUAUCUUUUUAUAAUAUUUAUAUUGUAUUUGAUCAUGUAGCUGACUCCUGCAGGAUGUAAUGAAGUGUUCAGGUUCAUCCUUCAGGUCUGCCUGUUGUGAUGUGUUAUGUUCACUGGCAUUAAACUGUAGUGGUACACAGGAAGUGUUGCUUUUGUUUAUAAUGAGAACAAAUGAUAAAAACAGUGUUGUUACAGUUGUGCAUUAUGUUAGUUGAUCCACAGUGAUCUGCUGCAGACAGCACAUGAUUGUUUAUUGUCUAACAUCAUGAAAACUGUAAAACUGCAGUUUGGACCUUCUGUUCAGAAUCUAUAUUCAGCUUUAACUUGACAGUGCAAUUUAAACUGAAGUGUACUGUUACUGUUACUCCUCAGCUGGCUGCAGGUUACAGCUGUGGCUCCUUGAAAUGUAACUGACUGUUUUAUAUUCAUAUGAAUCAUUUCAAACAUUAUUUGUCAGACAUUGAAAAUGUUUCUUGUGUGUUUCAGUAAAUCAGUUUAAUAAAUGAAAAUGUACAAUUUGAUGGAUCCAGAGUUCCUCAAAGAAUGUCUAAAUAUUAAAAUUAAAGGGAAACUUUUUGUAACCAAUACUGCAACAUUGUUUAGCUGCUGGAGGAUUUUUAUUUUCCUACCAAUUUAAUCAAACAUUUUAUUUCUUAUUUUUAAUGUUAUUCUUAUAUCUAUACAGUCUUAUUAUAAUGAUCGGUUGUGUGCAGAGCCUCACAUGAACUCUUACUACAGAAUCUGUGUUGAGUUUGAAGUCUGAAAGACUCAAAGAACAGCUGCUGUCUGACUGGACUUUAUUCUGAGUGGAGGAAAAUAGCUUCUACACAAGAAAAGUCUUCUUCAUGUCGACCCAACAAGGUUGGAUGUUAAAAAGGAAAAAAUAAAAUUUAAAUAUUAACACAAACGAGGGACUGAAAAGCAGGAAUCAUCUGUAAGACAUCUGUAAGACACAAUCCCUCCAUGCUGCUUCAUUCACACAAUAAAUAUACACAGUAAAAUAACAGCAAUUUAUUUUCAUAGAAAACAGUUACUUUUUAUGUUUUAAACAAAGUCAGAAAGUGCUUCAGAGUCAGAAGUUUUUUCUGAAGAAUCAAACAUUCUGUUUGGUUUUAGAAACAACUUCAAAAGCUGAAAUAUCACAAUAAUAAAUACAAAAGACACAUAAAUACUUAAAUAAAUGCUUCAAAUAGAGAAUUUAAGGGUCCUGGGUUUGAGUCCAACAGGUUUAUGUCCCCAAACUAUAACUGGAUAUUUGUGAAACUAAUGAAACCAUGGUCAGAUUAAAACAGAGAUUCAAAGUUUACAUGUUGAAUGUGUUUGUCUUCUCCUCCAGGCUGCUGCUGCUUUCAUUCUACUUCACUUUAAAUCAGCAUGCAGAGACUUUAACAUGCUCCACAUACUGUCUGUUAUUAAUGUGUCACUUUAGUUCUUGUUGGAUCAUGGUGCAGUGGACACUUUCCUAAUCAAUGUGCACUUUGAACUGCAGCAGCACAGCUCUGACAGCUACAGUAGAACACAUGAUGAGACAUGAUGUUCACUGUGAUGGAUGCUCUGACUCAAGUUUCAAUGGACUGCCUGGAGGAAGGCAAACACAUUCACAUAUACAUGUACAAUCACUGCAUUCAAUAUGAAAUAUAUACAAUACAAUAUGUACAAACACACUCCACUACAGUAGAUUCAGAUUAAUAAUGAGCAGUUAAGUAUAUGUUAGUAGCUGAAAGUGCUGGUAUGGAGGAAAAGCUUGUUUCAGUGCAGUUUGAGAGUCAACUUGCAGAAACUUUUUUUUUUUUUUUGUUGGUCUUGUGUUGAACACAUCACUGUUGUCUCCACCAGAGGUCACAUUCAGGAUGAAAUGUUCUGUGGGUUUAAAUCAGGAAGCUUCAGAUUCAUGAUCUUUUUAAAGUCA
ensembl:lncRNA